UUAGAGACGCGUUAGAGAAUCUAUCGCCAGUAUUAGAAGAAUUGUGCAAGAGGUGAACAGGACGUUGAAUUGAUAACAGCCAAGCUUAACUAUAAACAGCCGGUUUGUUUUAUGCCCAUUCAGCUUGUUAAAGGCUUACCUCCCAUUGGGUGGAGAUUAAAACGUCAUUCAUUUUGUUUGAUACUGUUGGCUAUGGAAAUCUAUGACGUAUGCCUAGACACCUCUCGGACAAUCCUCAAGUCACUUUUAGCGUCAGUAGUAGCCAGUCACCAAGAUAGUACAGACGCACAACCCGUGUCCCUCUGUCUUGAGUUACUCAAAGACUUAGACUCUGACCAAGACACAAGAGUCUUAAUAACUUUGCUAAUAAUCUUAGUCGUGUGAUUGAGUAGUAUAGAAGUGCACUGUUGUUGAGCUGUAAGACAAUUUAUAUUUUCUAAAUAAAACGCAACACACCAGAUUAACUUUGAUAACCCACUUACACAAGGAUGUUGUGAGUGAAGAUUAUUCAGAAAAAUAAUAGUCGUCUCUGAUACCAUGCUACGCCCACCGACACAUAGUCGUCACAGAGGAUAGAGGCAGUGUGCACACAUUCACACGCACACAGUGAUGUUCAGCUUAUUGGGAUUCUGAAGCCUAAACAACCUUGGAAGAGAAAGAAGAGUUUACAAACAUUAGAAACAAACAACAGAAGCAGUAACGGAAACAACAGCAAUAACACUUCCCCAGCCAACACAGUGAGUCACGGUCAACCCCGCAAGUGUGCACAAGUCCCGCACCGCGCCGCACCACGCCACACCUCAUCACACUCCCGAGCCACUACUCACACGAUCAAACUCAAGAGUAACUCUCAAUUAAUACCACCAAGCAACGAGACCAAAAUCUAAAUACUAAGAAGAGACUUAGAAGAGGAAACCGCAGCCAGAGACGAGAGCAGGAUCAGCGCCGCCCCAGCAGCCGCCGCACACAGCCACCUGCCACAGCACGCUGCCACCAGCAACCGCCGCACACAGCCAUCAGCCACAGCACGCCGCCACCAGCAGCCUCCGCUCAAGAGGACAUCGCUACUCACUUGUCUAUACUUUGUUUGUGUAUGCCUGAGGAGUGACUGAGCACGAAGAAACAUUGAGUAUAUCUGCCUUAUUGUAGAGCGUCUCCCAACAUUAUCACACACACUACCCAUCAUCAUAGGACAAGGUAUGUAAAUUGUACACAUGUAUGCCACUACCUAGUCAAGUUUCAAGUCGAACUAGUCCUAUCUUUACUCGCAGUUUACGAGCUUUACGUGAAAGUAGAAACUCCACCAUGACAAACGCUAACGUAGUAAAACAUUCAAUCAUCA